UUAAGAUUUGUUUCCUUAGUGGGAAAUUUUCUUAAAAGUCGAAGAAAUGUUGCGGCUACCGAACGGGCGCAGGCUGUAAUUAAUUUCUCGCCAGAAGACACAACAAACAAACCCGGAGACACACUGACCCACGCAGCUAGCUGUAGCCACGGCUAACAAAAGUAAAGGCGGACCGGGGCUCCGGUAGUCCUGAGCUAUUUACGGUUGUUCCGAAGGCCCCGGUGCUAUGACAACAGCUGGUGAAACACCGCGGAGGGACGGCGAACAUAGAGACCGUUAGGGCGAAGAGACAACACGGUCAAUGCUAAGGAAGGUUUAGCUACUUUUCCCCUCCUCCGUAACCCUCCUUUAAUAGGACUCCGUAUCAGGGGCAACACUUACAGACAACAAGGCUGCCAGGGCGAGCAGGCGCUUUGCAGGAACCGGGGGAGUGUAGCACUCUGCGGCGGCCAGAUGUUUCCGAGCUUGUUGCUGCUGAACUCAAGCCGGGGAAGGAGGCGAGUUAACUGGCACGGCACGGAAGCCAGCGGUGCCGGUGAGGAGGAGGAGGAUGGGGAGAAAAAAGUGAAGGCCGUCUCACAGUGGAGAAGAAGGAGAGGGAGGGAUAAGUCUUCUUUUUCUCUCGUUGGCGUAGGUUGACACCAGGCAACAACAACAGCAGCGGCGGCAGCAGUACACACACACAGCGAGGAGGCAGGAAAAGAAGACGCUGGGCCAAACCAACUGGUUCUGCGAGUCAGCGGGGCGGACUGGCGCAGCACAGAGCGAGAAGAGAGAGGCGCGAUGCGCUCUGGGUACUGUAGUCAAGGAGGAAGGUGGUGGGGAGGCGGAGCUAAUAAGAGCAGGUGCACCACCUUGACUGGAGGGAGAACAAAAACAGCUGGAGCCGGAUCCCUCUUAAUGUUUAAUUGUUGGAAUAACGGAAAUAUUCACUCAGGUCUUAAUCAGUGGCUUAACAGCUGUGCCUCCGCCAGAAGUGUGUGUUUAGUUCUCAUAAUGAGUAAACAGAUGUAAUAAAUGACUCAUAUGAUACCACA